CAAUCACCAUGUUUACACCUACUAACAAAGCCUUUAAUGCUCUAGGCGAGAAUUUUGUUCAAGGUUUGAUCGAACAUCCGGCCUUGCUUACUUCUCUUCUAAAGUACCACGUAGUACCAGGCAGCCUAUGAAGGGACGGCUUCCUUCCAGCGAUGGUGGAGACUUUCGAUGGUGAUGAUAAACUAAGACUAAACAGAUUCUUCAAUUAUGGCUAUGAUAUAGACCACGCUCAUCUUAAAAGGAAACCUAUUUCUGUGACUAACGGAGUUGUGCACAAGAUCGAAGAAGUGUUGAUGCCGAAUUCCCUAAAUGAACAGAUCCAGGCGUUGAUGGCGGCCCCGAGUAAAACACCGGGAACAUAGG